CAAUAGCGUAUAUUUAAGUUGUUGCAGUUAAAAAGCUCGUAGUUGGAUUUCUGCUGAGAACGACCGGUCCGCCCUUUGGGUGUGUAUCUGGCUCUUUCUUGGCAUCUUCUUGGUGAACGUUGCUGCACUUGACUGUGUGGAGCGCUACCCAGGACUUUUACUUUGAGGAAAUUCGAGUGUUUCAAGCAGGCAUACGCCUUGAAUACAUUAGCAUGGAAUAAUAAGAUAGGACCUCGGUUCUAUUUUGUUGGUUUCUAGAGCUGAGGUAAUGAUUAAUAGGGAUAGUUGGGGGCAUUCGUAUUUAACUGUCGGAGGUGAAAUUCUUGGAUUUGUUAAAGACGGACUACUGCGAAAGCAUUUGCCAAGGAUGUUUNCAUUG
rnacentral:rRNA from 1 species